UACGUAGGGUGCGAGCGUUAAUCGGAAUUACUGGGCGUAAAGCGUGCGCAGGCGGUUUUGUAAGCCAGACGUGAAAUCCCCGGGCUUAACCUGGGAAUGGCAUUUGGGACUGCAAGGCUUGAGUGUGGCAGAGGAGACUGGAAUUCCUGGUGUAGCAGUGAAAUGCGUAGAUAUCAGGAGGAACACCGGUGGCGAAGGCGGGUCUCUGGGCCGUAACUGACGCUGAGGAGCGAAAGCAUGGGGAGCGAACAGG
rnacentral:rRNA from 1 species